UACGAAGGGGGCUAGCGUUGUUCGGAAUUACUGGGCGUAAAGCGUAUGCAGGCGGUUCGUUAAGUCGGGGGUGAAAUCCCGAGGCUCAACCUCGGAACUGCCUUCGAUACUGGCGAUCUUCGAGUCCGGGAGAGGUGAGUGGAACUCCGAGUGUAGAGGUGAAAUUCGUAGAUAUUCGGAAGAACACCAGUGGCGAAGGCGGCUCACUGGCCCGGUACUGACGCUGAGAUACGAAAGCGUGGGGAGCAAACAGG
rnacentral:rRNA from 1 species